GUUUAAGAGAGAGGUGCGCAUCAUGCGUCGAUUACGACAUCCAAAUGUUGUUCGUUUUAUGGGUGCUAUAACUCGGCCGCCCCACCUUUCUAUUAUCACUGAAUUCCUACCACGAGGUAGCUUAUAUCGGAUAAUUCAUCGUCCUCAUUUUCAAAUUGAUGAAAGGCAGAGAAUCAAAAUGGCCCUUGAUGUGGCAAAGGGCAUGGAUUGCUUACAUACAAGCAACCCUACAAUUGUUCACCGUGAUCUGAAGUCACCUAAUCUUUUGGUUGAUACGGACUGGAAUGUUAAGGUAUGUGAUUUUGGCUUGUCUCGGUUGAAGCACAACACAUUUUUGUCUUCCAAAUCAACAGCUGGAACGGUGAGAACAAUGUAUCUGUUUUCUAUU
rnacentral:misc_RNA from 1 species